GACGAACGCUGGCGGCGUGCUUAACACAUGCAAGUCGAACGGAAAGGCCCUGCUUUUGUGGGGUGCUCGAGUGGCGAACGGGUGAGUAACACGUGAGUAACCUGCCCUUGACUUUGGGAUAACUUCAGGAAACUGGGGCUAAUACCGGAUAGGAGCUCCUGCUGCAUGGUGGGGGUUGGAAAGUUUCGGCGGUUGGGGAUGGACUCGCGGCUUAUCAGCUUGUUGGUGGGGUAGUGGCUUACCAAGGCUUUGACGGGUAGCCGGCCUGAGAGGGUGACCGGCCACAGUGGGACUGAGAUACGGCCCAGACUCCUACGGGAGGCAGCAGUGGGGAAUAAUGCACAAUGGGCGGAAGCCUGAUGCAGCAACGCCGCGUGCGGGAUGACGGCCUUCGGGUUGUAAACCGCUUUCGCCUGUGACGAAGCGUGAGUGACGGUAAUGGGUAAAGAAGCACCGGCUAACUACGUG
rnacentral:rRNA from 1 species